UACGUAGGGUGCAAGCGUUAAUCGGAAUUACUGGGCGUAAAGCGUGCGCAGGCGGUGAUGUAAGACAGUUGUGAAAUCCCACGGCUCAACCGUGGAACUGCUCGGUAUACUGCGUCGCUUGAGCCAGCUAGGGGCGACCGGAACAAACGGUGGAGCGGUGAAAUGCGUAGAUAUCGUUUGGAACGCCGAUGGUGAAAACAGGUCGCUGGGGCUGUGCUGACGCUGAGACACGAAAGCCAGGGGAGCGAACGGG
rnacentral:rRNA from 1 species